rnacentral:rRNA from 1 species
UACGUAGGUGGCAAGCGUUAUCCGGAAUGAUUGGCGUAAAGCGUCCGCAGGUGGCUAUGUAAGUCUGCUGUUAAAGAGUGAGGCUCAACCUCAUAAGAGCAGUGGAAACUACAUAGCUAGAGUGCGUUCGGGGCAGAGGGAAUUCCUGGUGUAGCGGUGAAAUGCGUAGAUAUCAGGAAGAACACCGGUGGCGAAAGCGCUCUGCUAGGCCGCAACUGACACUGAGGGACGAAAGCUAGGGGAGCGAAUGGGAUUAGAACCGUG